AUGAAGGCUCUGAAGAAGGGAGGGCACAUUUCCUUUUCAAAAUCAGUGAAGCCCUCCUCCAGUGUCCCAGCAAUGCACAAACGUUCUAAGAGUUACUCUGAGCCUCGUUUUCAUUGCUGCUAUGUUCUUCCCAGUUACUACCAUCUGAAUGAAAGGACCACAGAAUAUUGCAUCUUCCAGGAUGCACAACCUUCGAUCAACACCCUUGUUGCCAAGAUCAAGAGGAUCAGCAAUCUAAGCAUCCUGCAGCGAGCAGCACCGGUGUUGCAAGGCAAGCCAGAGGAAGAAGCGACAUCUCGGAGGCACACGAGCCUCCGAGAGGAUCUUGUGGCAGGGUCGGCUGAUAAUCUUGGUGCGUCCGCCGUCUAUGUUGCCCGCCACGUGUCCUCAAACACGAAGGCAAGUGACUACUCAGGGCUGCCCGUCGUCCUAACAUUGUCGUGCUUGAGCCGCCAGGUGAGCAACCAAAUACGCCAUUCUCCCUCGAUGAUGUUUGUGAGCACGCUGACAAGAGCAACGACCGCAUUGAAGACUCUCCUAUCCCGUUAUUUCCAUAAGCAGUGCAAUAAGUUGCCACCGUCCACCAUUCUACCAACAUGUCAUGUUGUGCUGGGUAGUGGCACUCCAAUCCUUUUGAUCGAAGAACUUCAAACAGAUGGACUUCACGAACUCAGGCUCUUGCAAGCAAAGUGGACAUCAGGGCUGACGAGGCAGCCCCCUUCGCCGCAGCCUGUCAGAGGUCGAACAACGGUUGCGAAGAACAAGCCAACUGAAGAACUUGACGCCCCCUUCCGCGUAAAACUUGACCACACACUAGACGCGCCCCUCAUAGUCUAUGUCGUGGACAAACUUCUUGGCAAUCUUCUGCAUAACCGCAUUUGCGUGAUCUUGGAAAUGAUAAGCGCAAGGACCGGACCGCAGCGACAAAAGCCCGAGCCGGACCGAGCGGCUCGUUUGGACCGGCCGGUGGUCACCCCAGAGCUCGCGCCGGAGCACGGCGACGCAGGGAGGGCGCUGGAGGCAGCGGGGCUCGUCGUGGAGGUGUCCGGCGACUUCUGUGACUCAGGGUGGACGGCACGACGGCCAGGCAGAGCUCCGGCAGCAACAAUGACGAAGAAUCUGGCACGACGGCCGGUGCAUGACGGCCAGUGUGCAGCGGCGACAUGCUUGCCAGCGUUAGGGAGGCCGGUGGCCGCGCGGAUGAACGACGGCGGCGCUGACCAGCGCACGACCGACGUGCCCGCCACGCAGCUCCGGCCACGCGCCUGCCAUGACGUCAACACGCCCCCGACACACCCCUGCCACGCCCUCGGCACGCCCCCGCCACGCCCCGACGUGCCCCUGCCACGCUUCCGCCAUGCCACAGCUCGUGUCGACGCACAAAGACACGGUGAUCUCGAUCUCACGAAUCACGAUGAAGGCCCGCACCACCCCGCUCGCGUGCCCCGGCCUGACGGCGUUCGCCCUACGCCUCAUCAGCGAGCUCUCCUCAAGGUCGUCCGCGGCCUGUCGGAGCAGGCCCUCGCCGACCGCACGCCGGGGGGCGGGCCGCGCGUCUCCUUCGCGUGCGGCGUGUGGCACGACGAGACCCGGAAGCUCAGGCCAUCCUUCCGCGAAGCCGCCGCCCAGUCCUACAAGGCGGAAACCCGCGCCGUCGACUUCCACGGAAAGCCAGGAGAAGCCGUGAAGCAGAUCAACGCCUGGGCGGCGGCGGCGACGAACAACCUCAUCGACUCGGUGCUCACCGAGCAGCAGGUGUCCACCGAGACGGACGUCGUCGUCGCCAACGCCGUCUACUUCAAGGCCACGUGGCGCUCCCCCUUCCGCGAGCACUACACCGAGGACGACAAGUUCUACCGUCUCGACGGCACCACCUUGGACGUCGCCUUCAUGCAGAGCGGCAAGAAGCAGUACAUUGCCUGCCACCAAGGCUUCAAGGUGCUCAAGCUCGACUACAGGCAAGGGCACGUGUGGUCUUCGCCGCCGGCGUCGUUCUCCAUGUGCAUCUUCCUCCCGGACGAGCGCGACGGGCUCCGGGGCUUGGUCCAGAGGAUGGCGUCCAGCCCGAACUUCAUGCGCGCGCACCUUCCGACGAGUCUCGUCUCGGUCGGCGACUUCAAGCUGCCCAGAUUCAAGCUCACCUUUUCGGCCGACAUGUCUGGCAUUCUCAGUGGCGGAGACAGGGGGGACCAGCACGGGCCCUGGCCCCCCCUAAUACCAGGAUUUUGCAUGUAA
rnacentral:rRNA from 1 species